rnacentral:lncRNA from 1 species
AAAUCUAAAAAGAGCCUCUCACCUGAGGCCUUCACCUGAGAGCUGGAGCCUGUGCGAUGGAUUAUCUGGACAGGGACCCCAAUGAACAGGUGGAAAAGUACAUUUAUCUGCCUAAGGCUUGGAAUGAAAAUUGGGGGUGGGGUGGGUAGAGGCAGAUUUUACUCUUCUUCAGAUUCUUUUCUCUGUCUCCCAGUGGGCACAGGCUGAGCCUUGCGGGGAUAGAAGAGAGAUAGAGAGGUUAGGCCCUGGUUCUCUGUGUAGGGUGGUAUGCAUGUGUGUGUGGAGGGAUAUGGGUGUGAGUGUGCUGUGUAUAUGUGUGGAAAGCGUGUGUGUAGGUGUGUUAGAAGCGUGUGUGGGUGAAUAUGUGUGUGGGGUGGUGGGGAGUGUGUGUGUGGGGGUGAAUAUGUGUGUGUGGGGUGGUGGGGAGUGUGUGUAUGGGUGUGUGUGGGGGAAUGUGGGUGUGUGGAUGUGUGUGUGGGUAGGGAGUGUGUGUGUAUGGGGUUGUGUAUAUGUGGGGGAAAUGUGUGUAUGGGUGUGUGGGUAUGUAUGUGUUUACGGUGAAUAUGUGUGUGAGGAGAGUAAGUGCAUGUAUGAGUAUGUGUGUCUGUAUGUGGGUAUAUGUGUGGGGUAUGUGUGUGUGGGGUUUGUGUUUUGGGGGGGUGUAUGUGGGUGUGUAUAUGUGGGUAUGUAUGUGGGGUGUGUGGGUGUGUAUGUGUCGGGGGGAAGUAUGUGGGUACGUGUGGGGGGAUGUAUGUGCGUAUGUGUGUGGGGUGUGUGGAUGUGGGUGUGUGUGUCUGUGGGUGUGUGUAUAUGUGGGUAUGUGUGUGGGGUGUGUGUGGGAAGUGUGUGUAUGUAUGUAAGGUGUAUGUGGGUGUGGGUGUAUUUGGAUGUGUAUGUGUGUGGGGUUUUGGAUGUGUAUGGGUGUGGGGGGAGUAUGUGCAUGUGGAGGGGUGUGUGUGUGGUGUGCAUAUAUGUGUUGGGGAAGUAUGUAUAUGUAUGUGUUUAUGUGGGUAUGUAUGUGUGGGGAGUUAUACGUGUGUGUGGAGGGGUGUAUGUGGGUGUGUAUAUGUGUGUAUGGGAGAAGUAUAUGUGGGUGUGUAUGUAAGUCGGGUAUGUGUGGGGAGUGUGUGUAUGUAUGUGGGGGUAUAUGUGUGUGUGGUGUGUAUGUAUGUUGGUGGGUGUGUAUGUGUAUGGAGUGUAUAUGUGGGUGUGUAUGUGUGUGGGGUAUGUGUAUGUGUGUGGGGAAAGUGUGGAUGUGACUGUGGGUGUGUAUGUGUGUGUAGGGGGAGUGUGUGUAUGAUGUGUGUGUGGCUGUGUGUGUGUAUGGGGGAAGUAUGUGUUUAUGUGGGUGUGUAUGUGAGUGGAGUGUGUAGGGAGUGUGUGUAUGUAUGUGGGGUGUGUGUAUGUGGGUGUGUAUGUGUGUAUCUGUGGGUGUUUAUGUUUGUGGGGUGUGUGUAUAUGUGGGUAUGUGUGUGUGUGUGUGUCUGUGGGUGUUUAUGUGUGUGGGGUGUGUAUGUGUGGGGGUGUAUGUGGGGGGACCUGUGGGUGUGUGGGUGGUGUCAGGGGAGCCUGGAUGGAGCCCCAGGACAGCCUGCUGAGGGUGGAAGCCUGGAUGGCAGAUGCUCAGGUCUGACUGCUGGGCUGCAGGGAAGAAAGAAAUGCCAAGCUGAACUCGCAGGGCUCUGCUGGAGUGAGGAAGCUGACUGAGGGAAGAACCAGAAGGCUGCCAAAAUACAAUUGUGUGCCUUUAAAGGAAAUAACAACAAGAAUUAGGAGCGCCCUGGAGGCAAGGUCUGCUGCUGGGGAAACCAAACCACAGUAACUUCAGAAAUAUAUACUUGGAAUAUGUCAUGUAUUAAUGGGUAAAGACACCGUGGAUAUGAAGGAAAUCACCUAUGGGAGAAUAUUAAGAAGAGAAGAAGGGGCUGCUGGCUGUAGUGAAAUGUAUAAAAAGGAGAGUGUGAUCCUAGUUUCUGUCUCUAACUAUGAGUUACUUGUGAUUAACUUCAAAUAUUCUCUCCAUAAGAAGAGGCCCAGAAGAAGAAGAUGAGCUUCAGUUAUUCUAGCACAACUGCUGUGAUAUUUGUAAAUAUUCAAAACCUAUAAUAAAAUGUAUAAAAGGAAACUCCAUUUGAAAUGAUUUGAAAUCUCACAUGGAAAUCUAUUUUUUUUAAAUCAGAGCUUAGUAAGAGAAAAUAACAGAACAUUGUAAUAAUUGAAUUACAAAAACAACUGAAUUUUGGAAAAUUUAUUUUCUCUCAUGUGAUGUGUGUGUAUGUGUGUGUGUGUGUGUGUGUAUCUAUUUAGCAAUGGCGUUAUUCUAUCAAAUGGGAUUAGAUUCAUUUUUGACUCCUGCUAAGCACCCUGUCCCCCCAACCCCAAGAUUAUGAAAGCGGAAGGGAAGGGGGAGAUAGGAAAUAUGACUUAUUUAAACUGUAUAAAAAUGCUGAAAUAAAAUGAACAUUCAAAACUCAUGUGAUUGAAUUUAAUCUUUCUUUUGUUCAACACAUUCAC